GCCAGGCAUGGUGGUGUGUGCCUGUAGUCCCAGCUACUCGGGAAGCUGAGACAGGAGGAUCCCUUGAGUCCAGGAAUUCGAGGCUGCAGUGAGCUAUGAUUGCGCCACUGCACUCCAGCCUGGGUGACAGAGCGAGACCCUGUCUCAA
rnacentral:SRP_RNA from 1 species